rnacentral:rRNA from 1 species
CAUAGGUUAAUGAGGCGAACCGGGGGAACUGAAACAUCUAAGUACCCCGAGGAAAAGAAAUCAACCGAGAUUCCCCCAGUAGCGGCGAGCGAACGGGGAGGAGCCCAGAGCCUGAAUCAGUGUGUGUGUUAGUGGAAGCGUCUGGAAAGGCGCGCGAUACAGGGUGACAGCCCCGUACACAAAAAUGCACAUGCUGUGAGCUCGAUGAGUAGGGCGGGACACGUGGUAUCCUGUCUGAAUAUGGGGGGACCAUCCUCCAAGGCUAAAUACUCCUGACUGACCGAUAGUGAACCAGUACCGUGAGGGAAAGGCGAAAAGAACCCCGGCGAGGGGAGUGAAAAAGAACCUGAAACCGUGUACGUACAAGCAGUGGGAGCCUCUUAAUGGGGUGACUGCGUACCUUUUGUAUAAUGGGUCAGCGACUUAUAUUCUGUAGCAAGGUUAACCGAAUAGGGGAGCCGAAGGGAAACCGAGUCUUAACUGGGCGUUAAGUUGCAGGGUAUAGACCCGAAACCCGGUGAUCUAGCCAUGGGCAGGUUGAAGGUUGGGUAACACUAACUGGAGGACCGAACCGACUAAUGUUGAAAAAUUAGCGGAUGACUUGUGGCUGGGGGUGAAAGGCCAAUCAAACCGGGAGAUAGCUGGUUCUCCCCGAAAGCUAUUUAGGU